GAUGAACGCUGGCGGCGUGCUUAACACAUGCAAGUCGAACGAAGCACUUUAUUUGAUUUCCUUCGGGACUGAUUAUUUUGUGACUGAGUGGCGGACGGGUGAGUAACGCGUGGGUAACCUGCCUUGUACAGGGGGAUAACAGUUGGAAACGGCUGCUAAUACCGCAUAAGCGCACGGCAUCGCAUGAUGCAGUGUGAAAAACUCCGGUGGGAUAAGAUGGACCCGCGUUGGAUUAGCUAGUUGGUGAGGUAACGGCCCACCAAGGCGACGAUCCAUAGCCGACCUGAGAGGGUGACCGGCCACAUUGGGACUGAGACACGGCCCAAACUCCUACGGGAGGCAGCAGUGGGGAAUAUUGCACGAUGGGCGAAAGCCUGAUGCAGCGACGCCGCGUGAGCGAAGAAGUAUUUCGGUAUGUAAAGCUCGAUCAGCAGGGAAGAUAAUGACGGUACCUGACAAAGAAGCACCGGCUAAAUACGUG
rnacentral:rRNA from 1 species